rnacentral:rRNA from 1 species
GACGAACGCUGGCGGCGUGCCUAAUACAUGCAAGUCGAACGCAUUUUCUUUCACCGUAGCUUGCUACACCGAAAGAAAAUGAGUUGCGAACGGGUGAGUAACACGUUGGUAACCUGCCCAGCAGCGGGGGAUAACACUUUGAAACAGGUGCUAAUACCGCAUAAUUCCAUUUACCGCAUGGUACAUGGAUGAAAGGCGCUUUUGCGUCGCUUAUGGAUGUACCGGCGGUGCAUUAGCCAGUGGGGGGGGUACCGGCCUACAAUGGCUGCGAUGCAUAGCCGAGCUGAGAGGGGGAUAGGACACACUGGGACUGAGACACGGGCCAGAGUCCUACGGGAGGCAGAAGUAGGGAAUAUUCGGCAAUGGACGCGAGUCUGACCGAGAGACGCGGCGUGAGUGAGGAAGGUUUUCGGAUCGUAAAACUCUGUUGUUAGAGAAGAAAAAGGAUGAGAGUGGAAAGUUCAUCCCUUGACGGUAACUAACAAGAAAGCCACGGCUAACUACGUG